UACGUAGGGUCCGAGCGUUGUCCGGAAUUACUGGGCGUAAAGAGCUCGUAGGUGGUUUUGUCGCGUUGUUCGUGAAAACUCACAGCUCAACUGUGGGGCGUGCGGGGCGAUACGGGGCAGACUAGAGUACUGCAGGGGAGACUGGAAAAUUUUCCUGGUGUAGCGGUGAAAAUGCGCAGAUAUCAGGGAGGGAAACACCGGGGUGCGAAAGGGCGGGUCUCUGGGGUAGUAAACUGACGCUGAGGGAAACGAAAGCGUGGGGUAGCGAAAACAGGGG
rnacentral:rRNA from 1 species